GGAGCCGGAGCGGCAGCCAGCCCCUCCGCGGGCCGGCGGGAGCGCCCGGAGCCUCCCCGCGCUGCCGGGCCUGGUCUUGCUGGCACCACUGGGCAUUUCCAUGCAGCUGACCUCAGCCCUUGGCAAUGAGCAGCUCAUUCAGCCUUUAGGGUGGAGAUCCCGCUGGCAAACUGCCACAGGAGCCCCGGAGCACCCAGCAGCCAUCCAGAGCUCAGCUGCUUUGGGCACCAAGGCCACCCAGGCUGCCCUCUGACCAGCACAGGGACCAAGUGCAGCCGCAGGCAUUGGAAAUUGGAUGCAAAUCUGUUCUGAGCAGCAGUGUGCUGUGACAGCACAGCAUUGGGCUUGCUGUGGAAAUGGACCUGGAACUCCCUGCUAAGCAUUUCUGUCUGUUACCUGUUCAAAUCUCUGCCAAAUGCUGAAGAGAUGGAGGAUGAACAAAUGGAAAUGGUGCAAAGUCCUUUCUUACUGACAGCUCACCUGCUCUGCAGGACAUUGGCAUCAGCAGGAAUGUCCUUCAUCCACUCAAAAUCGCUUAGAUCAAUACUUACCGUGAGGUCUAAACCCUUUCUGGAGCAUUUAAAGGGUAAAGCAAGAGUUGCAAAUGGCCCUCCCCAUCAAACCCCUGCUGCUGCUCACAGCCCGGGGGUGACAAAUGGAUGUGCCCCAAAAGCUGCCCCAUUUCCAUUUAUGGGGACAAAGCCAAACCCAGAGAUGCCCCUGCCCCAAAGUGAGACCACCCACAGCAGCACUGCCCCCCACCCUGACACCCCAUUGCCAUGGAAAAUCCACCCUUUCCUGCCCAAACCUGGCCUCCCUGGCAGCUGAGUUGGAUCCUUCCUCCCCUAGUGAAGGAUUUGCAGGUGGAAUUACACCCACUGUGUAACACCCCCACACAGGUGUCACUGAGAAAGGUGGGACAAAAUCCAGCUCCGUUCUGCUGUCCCUGCGAUCAGCCUUUGGCUCUGGACAUCAACCAAGGCAGCAGAGAUUUGUUUGGGACACCAAAGUAAAAAAUCAGCAUGUCUCAGUCUAAAUAUACCCAGGGCAGGGGUUUGCUGACAGCACAGCAAUCCUGGUGCUUUCCGAAGCACAGCCUGGUGUCCUGAGUAUGGGAAGGAUUCCCAGGGCAAAGAGAAAAAAGAGGGGGAAAAUCUUCCAUUAAUUUUCACAAAGGGUAGAUAAAUGUUGCCAUCCCGGCAGUUCCAAGGGUUCCUGCACCACAGCAAUGGAUGUUGCACAGCAGGAUGGGUCUCCUUCUGGCAGGAGGUUCCUGCAAUCUGCUCUAAAUGGUGUGCUAAAAGCAAUUCCUAUGAUGUGAGAGAAGGAGAAAAACAUAGAAAUUAAUUAAGGAAAGCAUCAUAAAAACAUCAAAUGUUUUGCCUUUAGCGUGGAACACCAAGGAAAGCAGGAGUGGGGAUAUCAACCUCUGUACCUGUAAAUUAAAAUUGUUUCUGACCAACUGACAACUUAAAACCUCAUGAGGACUGAGCAACAUGUCCAAGGCAUAAUAAGAAUAAAAACCAGGUUUUGAUACA